CCUACGGGAGGCAGCAGUGGGGAAUAUUGGACAAUGGGCGAAAGCCUGAUCCAGCAAUGCCGCGUGAGUGAUGAAGGCCUUAGGGUUGUAAAGCUCUUUUACCAGGGAUGAUAAUGACAGUACCUGGAGAAUAAGCUCCGGCUAACUCCGUGCCAGCAGCCGCGGUAAUACGGAGGGAGCUAGCGUUGUUCGGAAUUACUGGGCGUAAAGCGUGCGUAGGCGGUGAUUCAAGUCAGAGGUGAAAGCCUGGAGCUCAACUCCAGAACGGCCUUUGAAACUAGAUCGCUAGAAUUAUGGAGAGGUAAGUGGAAUUCCGAGUGUAGAGGUGAAAUUCGUAGAUAUUCGGAAGAACACCAGUGGCGAAGGCGACUUACUGGACAUAUAUUGACGCUGAGGUACGAAAGCGUGGGGAGCAAACAGGAUUAGAUACCCUGGUAGUCCACGCCGUAAACGAUGAUAACUAGCUGUUCGGGCUCUCAGAGCUUGAGUGGCGCAGCUAACGCAUUAAGUUAUCCGCCUGGGGAGUACGGUCGCAAGAUUAAAACUCAAAAUGAAAUUGACGG
rnacentral:rRNA from 1 species